ensembl:lncRNA
AGCCAGCUUCAAGGAGUGGUAGAGCAGAAACCGAAGUCUAACUGAGCUAAUGUCUUGUUUGAGCUGAUGGAGGUUGGUGGCACAGAGAACACGUCGUGGCAGCACAGUUUGCAGAAAGCCCAGGGUAUAUACCAGUGCAGAGGCACCAGAUCUGUGAGAUGUUAUUCCAGGACUUUUUUGCCUUCAUUAGUUUUCAACAGUUGGUGCCUGGCCACCGCUGGAGCUGAGACGCCAGGAAUCUCACAGCAGAGGAAUGAAAGCUUCAAAGCUUCAGGACAAAACAGGCAUCAGAGAACUACCACUAAAAAUCCCACAUCCAACAAGUUUCUGCAAACCACUGACAAAGUCAUCAUCUAUCAUUACAGGACACACUUUUCCAUCAUGCAAAAUUCUCAAAGUUCUCUCCAGUCCUAAAAUGAGGCAUCUCAGCUGGACAGAAGAUAACAAGAUUGUCUUACUUCGGUGGACACUUAUCAUUUGAGGGAAAUGAUUUCAGGUGUGCUCCUUGGGAAACAUUGGCCUGGUUAAAGCCUCUCCCUCCUUGAAUUUUUUAUAAGAUGUUUUCCAGUCAGUACGUCUCCCCUGUACAGCAUAACCCAGCCACUGCCUCUUUCUCCAGACAACUGCAUUUAUCUGCUUCCCUUUUUCUAUGGUCUCCCUCUCCUCUCAUCAGCACCAUUUCCUCAGAGCACUUACACAUAUGCACAAGCGAAAGCGCAUCAAAGUUAAAGCAUGUGUUUUAAGUGCCAUGACUUGCUGUGUGAGGAUGGAGUUGAAGUGCAGGACAGACUGCGAUCUCCAAGAAUGUCUCUCUGUACUAACUUGUUAGCUCAUAUGGUUCCAGACAGUCUUCAGAUGCACCUGCUGAGAUCCCAAGGAAGCACUGAGGACUGUUUCAACCUCCAGGCAUUACUCUAAAGACUUAAUGAACUGAAAACAUUUUAUCCACUAAUGACAAGCCACUGGUUUUUGAUCCCUUUUCAUCAAAUACAAUACAUUUAU